CUUGUGGAGAAACGGUCCUUCAAGGUGCCUCUGGGAAAGGGAAGACGCUGUGUUGUUCUAGCAGAUGGAUUCUAUGAGUGGCAGCGAUGUCAGAACACAAGCCACAGGCAGCCAUACUUCAUCUACUUUCCUCAAAUCAAAACAGAAAAGUCAAGCAGCAUUGGUGCUGCAAGUAGUCCUGAGGACUGGGAGAAAGUUUGGGACAACUGGAGGCUACUAACAAUGGCCGGGAUCUUUGACUGCUGGGAGCCACCACAGGGAGGAGACUGCCUGUAUUCCUACACCAUCAUCACAGUGGAUUCCUGCAAAGGCUUGAAUGACAUCCACCAUAGGAUGCCUGCCAUAUUAGAUGGAGAGGAGGCAGUCUCUAAAUGGCUUGAUUUUGGUGAGGUCUCAACUCAGGAAGCUCUGAAGUUAAUCCAGACCUCAGAAAACAUCACCUUCCAUCCAGUCUCUACCGUGGUGAACAACUCCCGAAACAACACUCCUGAGUGUCUGGCUCCUGUUGGCUUAGAGGUCAAAAAGGAGUCCAAGGCAAGUGGCAGCAGCCAGAAGAUGUUGCAGUGGCUGGCCACAAAGUCACCCAAAAAGGAAGACCCCAAAACACCCCAAAAGGCAGAGCCAGAUGUGCCCCAGUGGUCCAGCCAGUUCCUGCGGAAGAGCCCAUUCCCUACCAAGAGAGGAGGUGCAGGAUGUCUGGAGCGAUGGCUGAAACAGGAGAAGGAGGAAGAGCCAGUGGCCAAGCGACCUCACAACCAGUAAUGCAGGACUUUGAGAGACCAAGGUCAUGGUUUGCUGUACUAAAUACUGUUGCUGAUAACAGAUUCUUUCA